rnacentral:lncRNA from 1 species
CUGGCCAGAGGGUCAGAAGAGCUGACUCGUGGACAUUCUCAUUUCAGCCACUCAGGAUGGGAUCUCUGAAUCAAUAGGAAGCAUAAAUGAGAGAUGUCAGGGGAGGAUUGAAGGAUGCUGAUGGAGGUGGGAAGGCCUGAAGUGGCCCGCCUGUGCUAGACUGAAAGUGAUUCAGGCCCCACCCAAAUGCAGGAGCAGUGGAGCCUAAAUCCUUCACAACUGCACAUUAGAGGAGAGAGGAUCUGACCAUCAUCCUGCAACUAGAGUUACCGUUAAUCAAGGUGCAGCUCAGUUGCCAUGAUGCUCCUUGAGUCAAUGAGCUCUUUGGUCUGCUCUUCUGCUCAAGCAGAAAAUGAUCUGCGCUUCACCCUUGAGAAGCUGAC